rnacentral:rRNA from 1 species
UACGUAGGGGGCAAGCGUUGUCCGGAGUUACUGGGCGUAAAGCGUGCGUAGGCGGUUGUCUAAGUUUGGUGUGAAAUCUCCCGGCUUAACUGGGAGGGUGCGCCGAAAACUGGGUGACUGGAGUGUCGGAGAGGUAAGCGGAAUUCCUGGUGUAGCGGUGAAAUGCGUAGAGAUCAGGAGGAACACCUGUGGUGUAGACAGCUUACUGGACGAUAACUGACGCUGAGGCACGAAAGCGUGGGUAGCAAACAGG